rnacentral:piRNA from 1 species
UUCUGGUGAAAAGUAAAACAUAAAAGGCCAA